rnacentral:rRNA from 1 species
UACGAAGGUCCCGAGCGUUGUUCGGAAUCACUGGGCGUAAAGGGAGCGUAGGCGGCGCGGUAAGUCGGAUGUGAAAUCCCGGGGCUCAACCCCGGAACUGCAUCUGAUACUGCCGUGCUAGAGUAAUGGAGAGGUAGCUGGAAUUAUCGGUGUAGCAGUGAAAUGCGUAGAUAUCGAUAGGAACACUCGUGGCGAAAGCGAGCUACUGGACAUUUACUGACGCUGAGGCUCGAAGGCUAGGGUAGCGAAAGGG